UGAAAGAGAAGCAUCCACUUGCAGAGCCACAGCACCAUACGUCACCGCAGUUUCAGACCCGCAGUUGUAGACCCGCAGUUUUAGACCCGGAAGUGACGUUACCAUUUCUAGGCAAGCCGAAAACAACGCCUCCAUUUAUCGAACACAAGUCUUGGUUUUUAGCACGAGCGCAGCAUUUUCGAACACAAACAAAAUAUGACAGAAAACAGCACGUAACAAGACAAAACGAAUAUCUUCAGGCACAUGGAUACUAAUUAAAAACAAGAAUCUUCCACAGCAGUUGGUUGGGUGAGUGGAUUGUGGAGUAUUCAUGUUGAUGGUGAGAAAAUCAAAGAAACUUAUUUUUUAGGUUGGGAAUACUUUAGAACCACUAUAAAUAAAUUGCAGUAAGUAGAGUGUGCACUGUACUGUAUGCAAAUAGAUUAAAUAUUAAUUUGAAAUAAUUCUUCUGUGUGCUCCACAAUAUGCUCUGCACCUUGUCUUGAAUGCGCCAUUUGACUUCACAGCUGUAAGCUUUCACUUAUGUCUCUGAUUAUUUGUUAAUAUCUGUUACUGGUUUUAAUCUUCUUUGUUUUUUUCCCUCUGCAUGGCAGUGUGAUUGACCCUUGAUCAGGAGGUGCUGGUGCUUUAUUCUGUUGGAGAAUUUUGCUGUUGGAAGUUAUCUCUUUCUCUGUGGCUAACGUGUGAAUAUUUCGUACAGGACAAAGGCGUUCACUAAAGGAACCACUAAUAAAAAAGGACCUCCACACUGCAGUAAAAUGGUUGCGCCAACAUAGACGGUUGUUCAGAGGUGCCGUGUCUGAGCCCCAUUUUCUGGAGAUGGAGGAGGAGGACCAAAGCCGAGCACUCCAGGACAUCAUCGAUGCAGUCGAAACUGAAGAUUUAAUUUUGGCAAAAGAACCCUUUGUGUUUAUUUUUCAGUUUAGGGAUGAUAUGGAACUUUUCACUCAGGAAUGUCGGGAUAAAAUGAAACUUAAAGUAAACUGCAUAUUUAAUGAAUCAGUAUAAUUAUUGUCUGUUGCUACAUUGAUUGUUACUUGUAUUUUAUUGUGCAUUAAUACUCUAUUGAUUUCAGUUUAUAAUACUUUGAUUUUUCUGUUUUCCUUUGAUGGUGGAUAGUUUUUGAAAAUAAACAAUUUAACUGCAA